rnacentral:rRNA from 1 species
ACUCCUACGGGAGGCAGCAGUGGGGAAUAUUGCACAAUGGGGGAAACCCUGAUGCAGCCAUGCCGCGUGUGUGAAGAAGGCCUUGGGUUGUAAAGCACUUUCAGUAGGGAGGAAGGUAGUGUAGUUAACACCUGCAUUAUUUGACGUUACCUACAGAAGAAGCACCGGCUAACUCCGUGCCAGCAGCCGCGGUAAUACGGAGGGUGCGAGCGUUAAUCGGAAUUACUGGGCGUAAAGCGCAUGCAGGCGGCCUGUUAAGUCAGAUGUGAAAGCCCGGGGCUUAACCUCGGAAUUGCAUUUGAAACUGGCAGGCUAGAGUCUUGUAGAGGGGUUAGAAUUUCAGGUGUAGCGGUGAAAUGCGUAGAGAUCUGAAGGAAUACCAGUGGCGAAGGCGGCCCCCUGGACAAAGACUGACGCUCAGAUGCGAAAGCGUGGGAGCAAACAGGAUUAGAUACCCCUGGUAGACUGUCA